CUGGGACUGGAAAUGCCUUCAAUUUUGAACAUGAGACCAGAGGAGGACAAGUACAUCAAAACUGAGUGUGAAAAGUCCAUUGCUGAUAUCUUGGAACAGCAGAGGCAGGAAUGAUAACACUGAGGCAGAACUACAACAUCCUGAUUGCAGAUCCAUCUCCAAAGCUUCCUGUGCCUUCUGGCAGCAGCACAUGAAGGUACAUGAACUCCCAGCUUCUCUGAGAGGAGAGGAACUCAAAGCCUGAGGAAGAAUCAGGACCACCAUCUCACCCUCCAGAAAAACUCAUCACGUUAUAACUGGAGUACUGCUCAACAAAAAUUGUUUCCCUCAGUUUCAAGAAGGAACUGAUAAACGGCUACACAGGGAGAGCAUAGAAUUUUCUGUGCAGUGAAUUAUGAAACACAGAAGGAUUUAUCCAUU
rnacentral:lncRNA from 1 species